rnacentral:rRNA from 1 species
GACGAACGCUGGCGGCGUGCCUAAUACAUGCAAGUAGAACGCUGAAGGAGGAGCUUGCUUCUCUGGAUGAGUUGCGAACGGGUGAGUAACGCGUAGGUAACCUGCCUGGUAGCGGGGGAUAACUAUUGGAAACGAUAGCUAAUACCGCAUAAGAGUAGAUGUUGCAUGACAUUUGCUUAAAAGGUGCAAUUGCAUCACUACCAGAUGGACCUGCGUUGUAUUAGCUAGUUGGUGAGGUAACGGCUCACCAAGGCGACGAUACAUAGCCGACCUGAGAGGGUGAUCGGCCACACUGGGACUGAGACACGGCCCAGACUCCUACGGGAGGCAGCAGUAGGGAAUCUUCGGCAAUGGACGGAAGUCUGACCGAGCAACGCCGCGUGAGUGAAGAAGGUUUUCGGAUCGUAAAGCUCUGUUGUAAGAGAAGGACGAGUGUGAGAGUGG